GGGGGUGAUUUGGCUUUGAUUAGUUAUUAUAGAUUAUACAAUUCAGCACAGAGAGAUAACUGUUUAAAACUAAGGUGAAAUCAAGUAAUUGGAAACACAAAUAAUAGUGUAGUGUCUUUAGAAGAUAACGCACAAGUUGAAGCAAAUAUGAAUAUGGCUUUCUCUUUGAUUAGAGAAGAUGUUGCAGUUGCUGCCUAAACUAUUCGUGGGUUUUGUGUGUUACCCUUAUAAAUAAAUGCUCUGGUGGAUUCGUCAUAUUGAGAAAUCAGUUUGACCCUGUUCUAACAUAAAGAAUUGAAAGAGAUGUAUUCUAUAGUUAUUGUGAGAAUUAAAAUAAUACUGAUAACAUAAAGCUGUAUAAAAUUGUAUUUUUGAAGUAAUUAAGACCUGGAUUCGACUUCCAGCACCUCCACAG
rnacentral:tmRNA from 1 species